rnacentral:rRNA from 1 species
GAAUGUAAAAAUCGUAACAAGGUCUCCGUUGGUGAACCAGCGGAGGGAUCAUUACCGAGUUUACAACUCCCAAACCCCAAUGUGAACGUUACCAAUCUGUUGCCUCGGCGGGAUUCUCUUGCCCCGGGCGCGUCGCAGCCCCGGAUCCCAUGGCGCCCGCCGGAGGACCAACUCCAAACUCUUUUUUUCUCUCCGUCGCGGCUCCCGUCGCGGCUCUGUUUUAUUUUUGCUCUGAGCCUUUCUCGGCGACCCUAGCGGGCGUCUCGAAAAUGAAUCAAAACUUUCAACAACGGAUCUCUUGGUUCUGGCAUCGAUGAAGAACGCAGCGAAAUGCGAUAAGUAAUGUGAAUUGCAGAAUUCAGUGAAUCAUCGAAUCUUUGAACGCACAUUGCGCCCGCCAGUAUUCUGGCGGGCAUGCCUGUCCGAGCGUCAUUUCAACCCUCGAACCCCUCCGGGGGGUCGGCGUUGGGGAUCGGCCCCUCACCGGGCCGCCCCCGAAAUACAGUGGCGGUCUCGCCGCAGCCUCUCCUGCGCAGUAGUUUGCACACUCGCACCGGGAGCGCGGCGCGGCCACAGCCGUAAAACACCCCAAACUUCUGAAAUGUUGACCUCGGAUCAGGUAGGAAUACCCGCUGAACUUAAGCAUAUCAAUAAAGCGGAGG